GCCUGGGUGGCUCAGUCGGUUGAGCAUCUGACUUCAGCUCAGGUUGCAAUGUCAUGGUUCGUGAGUUCGAGCCCUGCAUCAGGCU
rnacentral:tRNA from 1 species